GACGAACGCUGGCGGCGUGCCUAAUACAUGCAAGUCGAGCGAAUCGACAGGUGCUUGCACCUGCUGGUUAGCGGCGGACGGGUGAGUAACACGUGGGCAACCUGCCUGUAAGACUGGGAUAACUUCGGGAAACCGGAGCUAAUACCGGAUAAUCCUUUUCCUCUCGGGAGGAAAAGCUGAAAGUCGGUUUACGCUGACACUUACAGAUGGGCCCGCGGCGCAUUAGCUAGUUGGUGAGGUAAAGGCUCACCAAGGCGACGAUGCGUAGCCGACCUGAGAGGGUGAUCGGCCACACUGGGACUGAGACACGGCCCAGACUCCUACGGGAGGCAGCAGUAGGGAAUCUUCCGCAAUGGACGAAAGUCUGACGGAGCAACGCCGCGUGAGCGAUGAAGGCCUUCGGGUCGUAAAGCUCUGUUGUUAGGGAAGAACAAGUAUCGGAGUAACUGCCGGUACCUUGACGGUACCUAACCAGAAAGCCACGGCUAACUACGUGCCAGCAGCCGCGGUAAUAC
rnacentral:rRNA from 1 species